AUGGAGGUGGUCCGGCUGAGGAAUGAGCAGAGGGCCACGGAGGAGCGCGUGGCGGCGAUGUGGCGCCGGGUGCAGGAGACGGAGCGCCGGCCCAAGCAGAUGCUCGCCUUCCUCCUCAAGGUCGUCGGAGACCCCGACGUGCUGCGCCGCCUCGCCGGCAGCGGCCAGGACCAGGGCGCGCGGGUCAACAGGCCGCGGCUGCUUCUCGACGGCAGGGAAGAACAGAGGAUGCCCGUCGACGGGCUGUCGUACCACAAUCACAGCAAUCUGAACAUGGAGGAGGCCUUUGUGCUGGAGCCGAGCGUGGACUUGUACUACGCCGGAGGCGACGGGCAGGCGGACGGCGGCGGCGGCGGACAUCCGCCGUACGCGGAGUUCCACGUCGACAGCGGCUACUGA
rnacentral:rRNA from 1 species